rnacentral:lncRNA from 1 species
AAAAAAUGCAAUCUUGAAUUAUUGCAAGAAUAUCUACCCCUCUUGACACAGUUUAAAAAAAAAGAUCUGAUUUUUUCCCCCCUAAAAAGAAAUUCUUAAAAAGUGAGAUGGUAAGAUAACUUAUCUAUACACAUUUGUCUUGUUAGAAGAAAUAACUUCAUUCUGCAAACUAGGUUUUUCUUACUUGUACAUGUGCCAUUGCUAAAGCAAUCAAUGGCCAUGACUCCUAAAUGACAGGAACAAUCUUGACCUUUAUUUUUUCACCAAUCAGAACAAUGGAAUGCAACCUUAAUUUUUUUCGUCAAUAACAACAUAUUAAAAUUUGAAUUUGAUAGGCAUUGGUUCAAUCGUUUUCAAGGAAAUGACAUAUAAAAGUGCACUUUCUUACAUAUUCUAAUCAAUCAAGAACCAUAACUCUGUAAACUUAGUAAACCUUGUAUCAAUGAAAUUAAAACUGGAUCAUGAUAUGUUUGCUAUGUAACCAAAACUCUUAAUUGGGUUCAUAAAUUACAUCAAAUAAUAAUCAGUUUAAAAUGUCAAAUUUGUAUGAUUUUUAUACGACCGCAAAAUAUUUUUUGUGUUGUAUAAUAGUAUGAUGUCGUCGUCUGCGCCGUUCUGAAGACACAUUCAAUGGGAAGGUUCAAUACCACAAAAGGAAGGUUAAGUUUGAUUUUGGGGAUGAUGGUCCAUACCGUUUGUGAUUAAGGGGCCAAAACAAGCAUUUUUCUACUUUCAGGAAAAUAACUUGUGUAUAAGUUUUUCAAUUGCUCUGAAAUUGUACCACAAUGUUUAAUACUACAAGUAGAAGGUUUGGAUACGUUUUGGGGGUAAUGGUAUCAACAGUUUAGGAGUUAAGGACCAAAAAGGGGCCAAAAACAAGCAUUUUUGUAGUUUCUGGACAAUAACUUUUGUGUAAGUUUAUGGAUCUCUCUGACAUUGAACCACAAAGUUUCCAUAUCACUAAAGGAAGGUAGGGAUUGAUUUAGGGGGUAAUUGCCAACUCAUGCAGGAAUCAGGGGCCAAAAAUAGACCAAAAACAAGCAUUUUUCUAGUUUCGAGACAAUAACUGUGUUAAAGAGUAUGGAUCUCUCUGAAAUUGUACUACAAUACUCCAUACUACAACAGAAAUGUUGGGAUUCAUUGUGGAGAUAAUUGCUCCAAGGGGGGACUCAAAACUUAUGGGGGUUCCAAUUUUUUAGGGGGUUCAAAUUUUCUUUUUCAAAAUUUUUAAGAAGAAUCUUAAUUGCACAGUAUUGCGCAAUAGAUUUGUUAGAUCUUGACAAUUAUUUUGUGAGUGAAACCUGAAGUUUUCCAAAAAUUUGAUCACAUUCCAAGAAUAUUGUGUCAAAAUUUGCCCCAACUGUUCAGGGUUCAACAUCUGCGGUCGUAUCAGGCUGUGCUCAGCGAAGCAAUUUAUUUAUUUCUGAAAUAAUUGUCCUUAUAUGAUCUCAAAUGUAAUUAUUGUACCUGAAUAUCUUCAUAUAUUUACGUGUUCAUUAAUAGUACCAAAUUUAAUGCACCAGAUGAGUACUCAUAAUGUGGAAAUAGAAAAAAAUAAUUACGCAGACAUACACCUUGACUGUCCUUUUAUUAUUUUUUAAAUGACAUUUUAAUGUAACCUCUGUGUUCAUAUCAAAGUGCAUAAUCAGAGAACUUUUUUUAUAUUUUUUAAAAUUAUUACAAGAUCUAAGUAAUACAUAAAUAGGUUCGUUUUUGUGUUAAGGAUACACAAUUGGUCUAUAUUUGACAUGGUUCUUGGAAGUUAAGGGUCCCAAAACAAAGACUUAGUUAAAUUUGUUGACUAGAUCAACAUUUUUUUGUACAUGGUACAUAAACAUAAACUAAUUGUGUAUUAUAAUAGUUCACAAAACUUUCAUAAACCAUUUUUAACUUAAAAAGCCCAAUGGUAAUUUUAUCUUCAAUGCUUGGAAUGUGUUUUUUGAAGAGUAAAACACAUCUUCAGUGUCAUCAAUGAACAUCACAAAACAUGAAGCUUGUUUAUAUUUCAAUAACUGCUUAAUGUAUCCAGUUUGAUAUAAUGUAUGAUAGUUUCAUCAAAAUAUAAAGUGAUCCAUUGAACAUUGUAUAUAAGAUGAAUUGCUCUACUAAUAAAAUCCCAUUUGAUUUUUUUUUUUGAUGUACAAAGCUGUACAAAUGUUUUGAACGCCCUUUUUAAUCGAUAAAGUAAAUUGAUUUGUUUUCUUAUAACUUUAUCUCAUUGUAUAGUCAUCAUUGUUAUUCUCUUUACUUUUCUCUGUGGGUCAUUUUCUACAAAAGUACCACAAUUAAUUCAACAAGUUUUUAAAAGGAGGGUUCCAACCCAGGAUAAAAGGGGGGAGUUCCACCCAUAUGUCCUCAUUCAAAAGCAUUGAUUGUUAAAAAAAGGGCGUUCAAAUCUGAGAUGUAACUUUCAGGAAAAUUAUUUACUUAACUGUUUUUGAGAAGUCAUUAAUAUGUUUUAAAGACAAAAACAUUUGUAAUACUGUGUACAUUAUCAUUCACUUAGAAUCAAGCCUGAAUGAGAUCAAGGUUAUGUUGAUCAGAAACAAGCUUUAAAAUUUAAGUAUAGUUUUUAGUUUAUUGUAUACAAAAAGCAUUGACCAAGAACCAGUAUUUAGAUCUCUAUAUGUUGUUUUCUACAAUUAUCUGAUAUGUUGUUUUAUAAUUUUAUAAACAUGUAUAUAUAUAGAUGUAAUAAUUGUUACCUUAUUUAAUUGAUUGUGGAGUAAGGUGUGAUAAUUGUUAACUUAUUAUAUUGAUUAUUGCUUGUUGAAGUUUACCUUAUUUAAAACAUGAAAUUAAUGUACAGGUUUAAUUUACUUGUAACCUUAGCAGUGGAAGUUGUCUCAAUAUCAACCACUUAUAGUUUCCAUGGUUUGGCUACUUUUAGUUAUGAAAAUAUAUUUUUCAGGCACUUCAGGAGUAGUAUCUUGAAUAGUAUAUACUGUGGGUUCAUUUAUCUACUUUGGCACCAUUUUUUUUGGAUUGAGAGGAAAUAUCUUUAUGUGGAUAUUUAAUAGUUUUGACAAGGUCUGCAUACAAACCUUGAUAUAUUUUAUAUUUCUAUGAACAUCUAAAUUCAUGUAUUUAUGUAUGAGUGGUAUUCCAUGAAUAUCCAUGAAUUCACAGUAUACAUGUAUAAGAUUAAAUGCAGCUAGAAAUGAUGCCUGGCUAAUUAUUCUUAUAAAAAAAAUGUCAAACUUUAACUACAUGUAUAUAGGGUAACUCAGGGGCAAAGUGACACAUUUAUAUCAUGUUUUAUCUAUUUUAUAAUCCACUGUUAUUCAUAAUAAAAAAUUGAUAUAUUAAAGGUGGAUAACUUUAUCCAAACUACUUGUAUUCUGUGAUAAGGAAUAAAUAAGAGAAUAUAAAGAAGGAAUAUGUCAAAGAGACAACAACCUGACCAAAGAGUAAAAAAACACAGUCAAAGGCCACCAACCGGGCUUCAACACAGCGAGAAAAUCCCACACCUGGAGGUAGACUUCAGUUUUCAUUAGGUUUUUAUUUUGAGCUAGUAUUAUGAUCGACAAAAAAUCAUAAAAUCUUUUAAAUAUAUUUUGAGAUUUAAGAAGAUCUGAAUCAAGGUCAAGAAAAUAAUUAAAAAAUAAUUUAACAAGAUGGCUGUCUGCAGGAAGACCUGUCACAUGACCUGGAUGCAUUAUUCUGACUGAGCUCAUCAGUUUCUGUUUUACUCCUUAUGCAUUGUGCUAAGACAAGAAGCAGCAAAUAUCACUUUUUAAGUUUUUGGCCAGGGUUCAAACCCAUAAUGAUUCACACUGGAGGUAAACAUGAGACCACCAAGGCCAAUCUCCUACAUGGAAAACAUGUAAUAACAUCAUUAGUAAUACCAAGAACCCCUAGAGCCUAUUCGAAAUACUGCAUGAAAUCCUGCUUUUUAAGCAUGAUAAACCAAAAGGUCAAUUAAAAGAUCCAAAAAGCAAUAAAGUUUUGAUCAGAUCAGAUGAUUCCCUCCUGUUGUUUUUUGGGGGAAGGUAAAGGAAAUCAUGUCAUUGACUUUUUAACCUCAAUCUUUUUGUUUGCUUCAUAAAUGCUUAGUCUUAGUAAAUGUAUGAGAUAAAAAGUGUCUUUCAUUAAUAUAACCAGAAAUCAAUUACUGCCAAAGAGAUAAUGUCAGUAAUGGAUUCCUGAUUUAACAUGCUAUAUUUUGUCUUUCUAGAUGUUAUGUUGUUAAUUAUUAAUUGUUUUAUGUUGCAAAAAUAAUUUAAAUCAAAUAAAACUGUUGUAUCACUUGUAAA